AUUGAACGCUGGCGGCAGGCCUAACACAUGCAAGUCGAACGAGUGGCGGACGGGUGAGUAAUGUCUGGGACUCUGCCAGAUAGGGGGGGAUAACUACUGGAAACGGUAGCUAAUACCGCAUACUAUCAGAUGUGCACAUAUGGGAUUAGCUAGUUUGUGGGGUAAAGGCUCACCAAGGCGACGAUCCCUAGCUGGUCUGAGAGGAUGAUCAGCCACACUGGAACUGAGACACGGCCCAGACUCCUACGGGAGGCAGCAGUGGGGAAUAUUGCACAAUGGGCGCAAGCCUGAUGCAGCCAUGCCGCGUGUAUGAAGAAGGCCUUAGGGUUGUAAAGUACUUUCAGCCGGGAGGCGUUACCCGCAGAAGAAGCACCGGCUAACUCCGUGCCAGCAGCCGCGGUAAUUC
rnacentral:rRNA from 1 species